CCGAUAGCGUAUAUUAAAGUUGUUGCAGUUAAAAAGCUCGUAGUUGAAUUUCGGGAUUUGUCAGUUGGUCGGGCUUCACUGUCCGUACUGACUUGAUGGAUUCUUACCUUCUGAAUAACCAGCAUGCUAUUAAGUUAGUGCGUUGGGGAAGCAGAUCUAUUACCUUGAAAAAAUUAGAGUGCUUAAAGCGGGCUAGUGCUUGAAUAGAUUAGCAUGGAAUAAUAAAAUAGGACGGCAUGGUUCUAUUUUGUUGGUUUCUAGGAUCACCGUAAUGAUUAAUAGGGAUAGUUGGGGGCAUUAGUAUUCAAUUGUCAGAGGUGAAAUUCUUGGAUUUAUUGAAGACUAACUUCUGCGAAAGCAUUUGCCAAGGAUGUUUUUAUUAAUCAAGAACGAAAGUUAGGGGAUCGAAGACGAUCAGAUACCGUCGUAGUCUUAACCAUAAACUAUGCCGACUAGGAAUCGGACGAAGUUAAUUUUAUAAUGACUCGUUCGGCACCUUACG
rnacentral:rRNA from 1 species